GAAUGGCACACUCAGGCAGCGUAAGAGAAGGAGAGAAUGGCACACUCACAGGAUGAGAAUGGCACACUCAGGCAGCGUAAGAGAAGGAGGGAAUGGCACACUCACAGGAUGAGAAUGGCACACUCACAGGAUGAGAAUGGCACACUCACAGGAUGAGAAUGGCACACUCAGGCAGCAUGAGAGAAGGAGAGAAUGGCACACUCAGGCAGCGUAAGAGAAGGAGGGAAUGGCACACUCAGGCAGCAUGAGAAGGAGGGAAUGGCACACUCAGGCAGCGUAAGAGAAGGAGAGGGGAAUGGCACA